rnacentral:rRNA from 1 species
UACAGAGGUCUCAAGCGUUGUUCGGAUUCAUUGGGCGUAAAGAGCGUGUAGGUGGCUCGGUAAGUCCGCUGUGAAAGUCCAGGGCUCAACCCUGGAAUGCCGGUGGAAACUGUCGAGCUCGAGUCCGGAAGAGGCGAGUGGAAUUCCUGGUGUAGCGGUGAAAUGCGCAGAUAUCAGGAGGAACACCAAGUGGCGAAGGCAGCUCGCUGGGACGGUACUGACACUGAGACGCGAAAGCGUGGGGAGCAAACAGG